AUGUUGGUCAGGCUGGUCGCCAACUCCUGACCUCUGGUGAUCCGCCUGUCUCGGCCUCCCAAAGUGCUGGGAUUACAGACGUGAGCCACCGUGCCCAUCCCUUUGAUCAUUUUUGAAUCAGGGUUUUUUUUUGUUGUUUUAGGAGUUGUUGAUACAUUGUGGAUAUUAAUCCCUUAUUUGCAGAUAUUUUCUCUCAUUCUGUGAGUUGCCUCAACUCUUGAUUAGUGUCUUCUGAUGCAAAAUUUUUUUUGUUGUUUUUUUAAAAGAGACAGUGUCUUGCUGUGUGUUGCCCAAGCUGGACUCAAAGUCUUGGGCUCAAGCAAUUCUCCUGCCUCAGCCUCCCAAGUAGCUGGGGUUACAGGCACAUGCCACCAUGCCUGGCUAUGCACAAGACUUUUAAAAUUUUCAUGAAAUCCUGUUUUCAUGAAUUCUUUCCUUUGUUGCCUGUGUCUUUGGUUUUAGAUAUAAGGAAUUACUGCCAACUCCAAUGUCAUGAAGCUUUUGCACUGUUUUCUCCUAAGAGUUUUAUAGCUUUAGAUACUACAUUUAGGUCUUUGUUCCAUUUUGAGUUAGUUUUUGUGGAUGGUGUCAGGUAGGGUCCAACUUCAUUCUUUUGCAUGUGGAUAGUUUUCCCAGGACGGUUUGUUGAAAUGACUUUUUUUCCCUCAUUGAAUGGUCUUUGCAACUUUGUCAAAAAUCACUGUACUGUGGAUGUGAGGGUUUAUUUCUGGCUCUCUUCUCGUUUCAUUGGUCCAUGUGUUUGUCAUUAUGCCAGCACCACACUGAAUUGAUCACUGUAGCUUUUUAGGGAGUGAGUCCUCCAGCUUUGCUGUUCUUCUUUUAAGAUUGUUUUGGUUGUUCCAGAAUUCAAUCCCUUGGGAACCAAUAUGAACUUUAGGAUGGUUUUUGAUAUCUUAACAAUACUAAGUUUUCCAAACUAUGAACAUGGGAUGUGUUUCCCUAUAUCCUUGUCAGCUUCAGUGUCUUCUUAAAUGCUUUGUUAUAGAUUGCUCGCUGUAAGCAGCUCAUCUGUGACCCCAGCUAUGUAAAAGAUCGGGUAGAAAAAGUGGGCCAGGUGAUCAGAGUUAUUUGCAUCCUCAGCCACCCCAUCAAGAACACCAAUGACGCCAACUCCUGCCAGAUCAUUAUUCCACAGAACCAAGUCAAUCGAAAGUCAGAUAUCUACGUCUGCAUGAUCUCCUUUGCGCACAAUGUAGCAGCACAAGGGAAGUACAUUGCCAUAGUUAGUACAACUGUGGAAACCAAGGAGCCCGAGAAGGAAAUCAGACCAGCUUUGGAGCUCUUGGAACCAAUUGAACAGAAGUGAGUUGUGUUCUUUUGUAUCUGCCGAGAUGCAAACUGAGGCCUUUGAUUGUGGCUCCACGGUGGGACGAAUGUGAGGGCAAGGCAGGUAGCCGCUGGCUGCUCUGUGGGAUUCAUCUGUACCUCUCAGUUGAUGUCAGGCAGAGCCAUGGUCAGGUGUGGGACCAGCUCACCUGAUUGAAUUCUCUCUCCCUCCAGAUUUGUUAGCAUCAGUGACCUCCUGGUACCGAAAGACUUGGGAACAGAAAGCCAGAUCUUUAUUUCCCGCACAUACGAUGCCACCACUCAUUUUGAGACAACGUGUGAUGACAUUAAAAACAUCUAUAAGAGGAUGACGGGGUCAGAGUUUGACUUUGAGGAAAUGAAGCGCAAGAAGAAUGACAUCUAUGGGGAAGACUAACAGCAGUACAUGUUAUCUAAUUAGGACACAUUUAAAAUUUGGCAAAUAAUGCAUAUGAUAAUGAAAUCAAUAUUGUAAGGCCUGCUUUUGUAAUGAAAAUGGAGAGAAUGAAGAGCGCUGUGCCAGUAAAUACUCCCCUUCAUCUUUCUAAUUAUUAACUUGUUUUCAUGGAGUGGCUAUUCAGCAUUGGCAGUUACCACGUUCUGUUCAAUUCAACCAAACUGGCUUUUUUUUUUUUUUCCUAGUGAAGGAUCAAUUUUAAACAAACAUUGGGAUACCGAUACAGACAACUUGAGACAGUUUUUUUUUAUCUUUUAAUCAGUGUAGCUAUGUGCUUAUGCUGCUCAAGAGCUGGAUCCAUACAGGUUGUGUGCCCGUCCUCUUGAGGUUCAAGAGAUUCUAAAUUGAAUAUUCCACGGUUUGGGACAGCAUCCAGAAGUUUUCCCUAUGACUUUAUAUUUUGUAUUAUGUCAAAUGUUAUGGCAGGGCCCAAAUAGAAUAGCCACAAAUUUGGUUUAUGUGGGCAUAAAAUUCUAACCAAACUCUAGACACAGGGAAUCAUUUGGAGAAAGCCUGUAUGUGGUGUUUUAACCUAAUAAAGUUGAUGAGAGAGAAGGGGAGAGGAAGCGAACAUAAAGCGGGUAAAGUGUAGCGCAUCUUUUGUAUCUCAGGUGUGGCUUCUUCAGUGGACCAAGCUGCAAUGCAGUAUUGACUUGACAGAGCCUCUACUUCUGUCUCAAAAUGGCUCCAAAUGAUUUCUGUACUGCAAAAUAAAGCCAAAUUCUGG
rnacentral:sRNA from 1 species